UACGUAGGGUGCGAGCGUUAAUCGGAAUUACUGGGCGUAAAGCGUGCGCAGGCGGUUGUGCAAGACAGGUGUGAAAUCCCCGGGCUUAACCUGGGAACUGCACUUGUGACUGCACGGCUGGAGUGCGGCAGAGGGGGAUGGAAUUCCGCGUGUAGCAGUGAAAUGCGUAGAUAUGCGGAGGAACACCGAUGGCGAAGGCAAUCCCCUGGGCCUGCACUGACGCUCAUGCACGAAAGCGUGGGGAGCAAACAGG
rnacentral:rRNA from 1 species